UACGAAGGGGGCUAGCGUUGUUCGGAAUUACUGGGCGUAAAGCGCACGUAGGCGGAUCGAUCAGUCAGGGGUGAAAUCCCAGAGCUCAACUCUGGAACUGCCUUUGAUACUGUCGGUCUAGAGUAUGGAAGAGGUGAGUGGAAUUCCGAGUGUAGAGGUGAAAUUCGUAGAUAUUCGGAGGAACACCAGUGGCGAAGGCGGCUCACUGGUCCAUUACUGACGCUGAGGUGCGAAAGCGUGGGGAGCAAACAG
rnacentral:rRNA from 1 species